ACGCUCGACACCUACGAGAGGCAGCAGUGGGGAAUAUUGCACAAUGGGGGAAACCCUGAUGCAGCGACGCCGCGUGGAGGAAGAAGGUCUUCGGAUUGUAAACUCCUGUUGUUGGGGAAAAAGNGGAUGGUACCCAACAAGGAAGUGACGGCUAACUACGUGCCACAGCCGCGGUAAUCUGAGCGGGCUGGCAAGGC
rnacentral:rRNA from 1 species